rnacentral:rRNA from 1 species
GCUUCGGCACUCAAAGAUGAGUCGGCGGCCCAUCAGGUUGUUGGCGAGGUAACGGCUCACCAAGCCUACGNCGGGUAAGGGCCUUGAGAGAGGUUGCCCUGAGAGGGACACUUAGAUACUGGUCCCAGCCCCACGGGGUGCAGCAGCUAGGAAAACUUUACAAUGCACGAAAGUGUGAUAAGGGGAUUCUGAGUGCUCAAGCAUAGCUUGGGCUUUUGCCAAGAGUAAAAAUCUUGGCGAAUAAGUGGUGGGCAAGACUGGUGCCAGCCGCCACGGUAACACCAGCGCCACAAGUGGGAACCGUCAUUAUUGGGUCUAAAGCAUCCGUAGCCGGCUUAGUAAAUUUCCUGUGAAAUCGGUCAGCUUAACUGAUCGGCGUGCAGGGAAGACUGCUAAACUUGAGACCAGGAGAGGUUAGAGGUAUUCUGUGGGGAGCGGUAAAAUGCUAUAAUCCACAGAGGACCACCAAUGGCGAAGGCAUCUGACCAGAAUGGAUCUGACGGUGAGGGAUGAAAGCCAGGGGAGCGAUCCGGAUUAGAUAUCGAGAUUUCUGUUACAAG